rnacentral:rRNA from 1 species
AGCGAACGCUGGCGGCAGGCCUAACACAUGCAAGUCGAACGGAUCCUUCGGGAUUAGUGGCGGACGGGUGAGUAACACAUGGGAACGUGCCCUUUGGUUCGGAACAACUCAGGGAAACUUGAGCUAAUACCGGUUGUGCCCUUCGGGGGAAAGAUUUGUCGCCAUUGGAGCGGCCCGCGUCUGAUUAGCUUGUUGGUGAGGUAACGGCCCACCAAGGCGACGAUCAUUAGCUGGUCUGAGAGGAUGAUUAGCCACACUGGGACUGAGACACGGCGCAGACUCCUACGGGAGGGAGCAGUGGGGAAUCUUGCGCAAUGGGCGAAAGCCUGACGCAGCCAUGCCGCGUGAAUGAUGAAGGUCUUAGGAUUGUAAAAUUCUUUCAGCGGGGACGAUAAUGACGGUACCCGCAGAAGAAGCGCCGGCUAACUACGUG